GAUACCCCAGGUCAGGCGUGACCACCCGCUGAGUUUAAGCAUAUCAAUAAGCGG
rnacentral:rRNA from 1 species